rnacentral:lncRNA from 1 species
UGCGCUCAGACGGGAAACCAUUUGAAAUCAAAGAUAUUCUAUCAAAACCAAUGAGACAUCUAUCAAGAGCUUUCUAUGAUAAGGGAGAGGAGUUGUAGCCUUCUGAUGAAGAAACUUUCAUGUACCUAAUAUCAGAAGAUAUUUCUGGAAAACUUAAAGCUAGGUACUUUCAUUUAAAAAUGUCAUGAUGGACAUCUGAGAAAAACG